rnacentral:rRNA from 1 species
CUUGAAACAAGAGUGACGGGCGAUUUGUGCAUACUUGUUUUCUUUUUCUAAACGCGUUUUCUCUGUGAGAUUAAUUCCAAGUCCUUUUUCUGCCUCUUAAUUUGCGCUUCCAAAAAUCGAUUUUUGUAUCCCACUUAGCUCUUCCUUAUGGACUCUGUCUUGAUUUGUUUUACUUCCCCUUGAAUUCCAAUUCCUUUUGUGAAAAAAAUUUUGCAACAAUGAUAUAGAAAUUUAUAAAAGAAGCAUUCUGGGAUCGUGGGGUAUCUAUUAGGGAGCAGGAUCCCCUGUAUAGUACUAGUACCGCCAUUUUACAUAGAUUUUGCUUAUUUAGCUACUACCAAGUCUUAGGUUAUAAAA